AGUUUUAUGAGAAUAUAUAAAAUGAAUUCUGCCCAAUGAUUAGUUUAAUGGCCGCAGUACUUUAACUGUGCUAAGGUAGCAUAAUAAUUUGGCUUUUAAUUAAGGUCUGGUAUGAAAGGAUUUUAUGGGUAAUAACUGUCUUUAUUUAACUUUUAAAAAUUUACUUAAGAGGUGAAAAUUCCUUUAAUAUUAAAAUAGACGAGAAGACCCUAGGAGUUUUCAUUUUGUUGGGGCGACAUUUUAGUAGAUAACCUAAGAAAAAAAAUUUGACGGAUAUAUCAAUUAUAAAUAAACUACCCUAGGGAUAACAGCAUAAUAAUAUUUUUGUUUGUGACCUCGAUGUUGGACUAGG
rnacentral:rRNA from 1 species